UAUAUAACAGUUGUUUAUUAAUAAGUAUAACUCCAGGGGGAAGUACGAACACAUAAUCUUCAGGUUAGAUGUCGGUGGAGGUUUUCCUCUGAGUCUCUGGAGUGUCUCUGGCUUCAUGUUGCUCUGCUGUCCCACAGCUCUUGGUUACAGUUGGACAUCAGGAUCAAAGGUCCAGGUAGCUGCAGUCAUUCAGAACCGAGCUGGGCCAGACUAUACCUACAGCAGGAGGCUCACUUCAAAAUGAAAGCACAGAAGCAACCUGCUGAUUGUGUCGAUGGUCG